CGUAGGGGGCGAGCGUUGUCCGGAUUUAUUGGGCGUAAAGCGCGCGUAGGCGGCUGUUCAAGUCGGUAGUGAAAACUCGAGGCUUAACCUCGGGCUUGCUGUCGAGACUGGGCGGCUGGAGUCUGGUAGGGGGGUCUGGAAUUCCUGGUGUAGCGGUGGAAUGCGCAGAUAUCAGGAGGAACACCGGUGGCGAAGGCGGGACCCUGGGCCAGUACUGACGCUGAUGCGCGAAAGCGGUGGGGAGCAAACAGGAUUAGAUACCCUGGUAGUCCACGCUGUAAACGAGUGGGUGCUAGGUGUGGGGGGUAGUUGACUCCUUCCGUGCCGCAGCUAACGCAGUAAGCACCCCGCCUGGGGAGUACGGCCGCAAGGCUA
rnacentral:rRNA from 1 species